AUUGAACGCUGGCGGCAGGCCUAACACAUGCAAGUCGAACGAGUGGCGGACGGGUGAGUAAUGUCUGGGAAACUGCCUGAUGGAGGUGGAUAACUACUUGAAACGGUAGCUAAUACCGCAUCCCAUCGGAUGUGCCCAGAUGGGAUUAGCUAGUCGGUGGGGUAACGGCUCACCUAGGCGACGAUCCCUAGCUGGUCUGAAAGGAUGACCAGCCACACUGGAACUGAGAAACGGUCCAGACUCCGACGGGAGGCAGAAGUGGGGAAUAUUGCACAAUGGGCGCAAGCCUGAUGCAGACAUGCCGCGUGGAUGAAGAAGGCCUUCGGGUUGUAAAGUACUUUCAGCGGGGAGGCGUUACCCGAAGAAGAAGCACCGGCUAACUCCGUGCCAGCCGCCGCGGUAAUUC
rnacentral:rRNA from 1 species